AUUAGCUGGUUGGUGAGGUAACAGCUCACCAAGGCGACGAUGGGUAGCCGACCUGAGAGGGUGAUCGGCCACACUGGAACUGAGAAACGGUCCAGACUCCUACGGGAGGCAGCAGUGGGGAAUAUUGGGCAAUGGGCGGAAGCCUGACCCAGCAACGCCGCGUGAGGGAAGAAGGUUUUCGGAUUGUAAACCUCUGUCCUUGGGGACGAAGGACGUGACGGUACCCGAGGAGGAAGCCCCGGCUAACUACGUGCCAGCAGCCGCGGUAAUACGUAGGGGGCGAGCGUUGUCCGGAAUGACUGGGCGUAAAGGGCGUGUAGGCGGUUUGAUAAGUCUGGAGUGAAAGUCCUGCUUUCAAGGUGGGAAUUGCUUUGGAGACUGUUAGACUUGAGUGCGGAAGAGGUAAGUGGAAUUCCCAGUGUAGCGGUGAAAUGCGUAGAGAUUGGGAGGAACACCAGUGGCGAAGGCGACUUACUGGGCCGUAACUGACGCUGAGGCGCGAAAGCGUGGGGAGCAAACAGGAUUAGAUACCCUGGUAGUCCACGCUGUAAACGAUGAAUGCUAGGUGUUGCGGGUAUCGACCCCUGCAGUGCCGUAGUAAACACAAUAA
rnacentral:rRNA from 1 species